GCGUCGAAGGCGUGGCGCGAGCCACUCUGGAGCGUAUGGAAAAGCAAAUGUAGGUAUAAGUAACGAUAAAGGGGGCGGGAAACCCCCUCGCCGAAAGACUAAGGUUUCCUGAUCAACGCUAAUCGGAUCAGGGUAAGUCGGGACCUAAGGCUCAGCCGAACGGCGAGGCCGAUGGCAGAAACGGUAAAGAUUCCGUUACUACCUCCAACGGUGACGUGGAGACGCAGCAGUGACACCACCGCCGGCUGACGGAAUAGCCGGUUAAAGAGUGUAGACGUCGAUUCCCGCAGGCAAAUCCACGGGAAGAGUCGAACUUGA
rnacentral:rRNA from 1 species